GAUGAACGCUGGCGGCGUGCUUAACACAUGCAAGUCGAACGGUAAAGCAGAGCUUGCUUUGGGGGCUAGUGUCGAAAGGGGGUGUAACACGUGAGCAUACCGCCCCUUUGUCUUUGGGAAGAGUUCGGGAAGGCGGCGAUAACACGAGAUGAGCUGCGCCCGUGCGGGGAGCGGGUGGGAAGAUUUUGCGGUCUGGGAUGGGAUCACGGCCUAUCAGCUUGUUGGUGGGGUAAUGGCUCACCAAGGCGUCGACGGGUAGCCGGCCUGAGAGGGUGACCGGCCACACUGGGACUGAGACACGGCCCAGACUCCUACGGGAGGCAGCAGUGGGGAAUAUUGCACAAUGGGCGGAAGCCUGAUGCAGCAACGCCGCGUGCGGGAUGACGGCCUUCGGGUUGUAAACCGCUUUUGGCUGGGAAGAAGCGAAAGUGACGGUACCGGGAGAAGAAGCACCGGCUAACUACGUG
rnacentral:rRNA from 1 species